rnacentral:tRNA from 1 species
UACAUUUUAGUGUAUGGUGCACAUGAAUUUUUGAUGUUUUUGGUAAUAGUUUGAUUCUAUUAAAUGUAA